ACUCCUGCGGGAGGCAGCAGUGGGGAAUAUUGCACAAUGGGCGCAAGCCUGAUGCAGCCAUGCCGCGUGUAUGAAGAAGGCCUUCGGGUUGUAAAGUACUUUCAGCGGGGAGGAAGGCGAUAAGGUUAAUAACCUUGUCGAUUGACGUUACCCGCAGAAGAAGCACCGGCUAACUCCGUGCCAGCAGCCGCGGUAAUACGGAGGGUGCAAGCGUUAAUCGGAAUUACUGGGCGUAAAGCGCACGCAGGCGGUCUGUCAAGUCGGAUGUGAAAUCCCCGGGCUCAACCUGGGAACUGCAUUCGAAACUGGCAGGCUAGAGUCUUGUAGAGGGGGGUAGAAUUCCAGGUGUAGCGGUGAAAUGCGUAGAGAUCUGGAGGAAUACCGGUGGCGAAGGCGGCCCCCUGGACAAAGACUGACGCUCAGGUGCGAAAGCGUGGGGAGCAAACAGGAUUAGAAACCCCAGUAGUCCCAUGA
rnacentral:rRNA from 1 species